rnacentral:lncRNA from 1 species
GGAUCUGACAUUGCUAUAGCUGUGGUGUAGGCUGCAGAUGCAGCUUGGAUUCAGUCCCUGGCCUGGGAACUUCCAUAUGCUGCAGGUGUGGGGGAAAAAAAAAUUGUGAAUUUCUAUCUAUUUCUGUGUAUCAUCUAAACCAGAAUAUCACAUGGGUUUUCUGUCAUGCACUGAUCAACUGGACGUUGGAUCCCUAGAUCACCAUGUUACAGACAUUUGGGAAGCCUUAGCUAGGAUUAGCAGGAUUGAUUAGUGAUGUCUGCCUUGGUCAAGAGAUGGGUGAGAGCACAUGAGUGCUUCGACAUUAGGUGGAUUUAUUAUUUCAUGAAACAAAAAGUAGGAAUGUGUGGUACCCUCCUGGUUGGUAAGUUUGUGGCUCAUGGACACCCUCAAGGACUCAGUUCUUUCCAUUAACCCUCUUCCAUCCUGACUAUGGUAGCCUUUGUCCUCAUAUUUGUCUCCUCAUAGUCCCAAAGUGGCUGCUAUGGCUCCAUGAGUAAGAACUUCACAGGAUAUAUGCCUGGACUAUUAGGGGAAAAAAUAUCCCUUCCUCUUUACUUUUAAGGGCAAAGAAACUGUUCCCAGAAAUCCCAUGCCUAUACAAACUAAGCCUCCCUUAUCACUGGCCAAAAUCGCAUCCCCCAAAUCAAUCACUGGAAAGAGAAAUGAAGUUACAAGUUUGUUAUAAUGUCAGCAAGAUACCUUCCCUAGAGCUGGAGGAAGAGGGUCAACCUCCUUUGAAGUAACUGGUCAUCCAAAACCUGAAGCAAAUCAAGGACGACUAGUAAGGAGAAAUGAGGGGUGGGUGGUUUGGUUGGCACCUUGGGGUACCUGUCCAACCAGAUCUCCUGCUGUAAUAUCUGGAAGACCUCUUCUGACACUGCAUGCUCACCUAAGCUUUCUCCUCUUUGCUUUCAGGUCUUCACCCCUCAACAUUACAGACAAGUUUACCCUUGGUUUGGGUAGGCAACGGCAGAGCCUACCCCACCAGGUAGCUGGUGUGAACUUGGCUAGACUUGCCUAGUUCAUGAAAUUUUAGAGCCAAUCAUGCUAAGGCAGAAGUUACAAGUGGUGGCCCAAAAUUAGAGUCUAGUGCUCAGACGAGUUUUGAUGUGUUUCUUUAAAAAAAAAAAAUUUUUUUUUUAAUCCUUAAAGUCCUUGCAAUAAUUCAAAAUAAUAUCAUUUUGGAGUUCCCAUUGUGGCUCAGUGGUAAGGGACCUGACUAGUAUCCAUGAGGAUGAGGGUUCAUUCUCUGCCCUUGCUCAGUCCGUUAAGGAUCUGGUGUUGCCAUGAGCUGUGAUGCAGGUCACAGAUGCAGCUUGGAUCUGGUGUUGCUGUGGCUGUGGCAUAGGCUGGUAACUGCAGCUCUGAUUCAACCUCUAGCCUGGAAACUUCCAUAUGCCUAAAAGACAAAAAUAAUAAUUUUAAAAAUAAUAAAAUAUUAUANAAUAGAAGAACUGGCAAUAACGGGUCCAUGUUCCAUCCCAACAACAAUCCAGUAGAAUCCAGUGCUUUCUAGUAGAAAGCACUGCUUUUGACUGGCACAUAUUCCUUCCUUUGCUCAAAUCGUCCACCCCUCUCUUUUGCAGUGCUUGAGCUGUUUUACUUCUGGCAACAGCAAGAAUGUGAACUAUUUCUUGUGCCCACAAUAAAUAUUGAAAUAUUUUAAAAAGUAGAUUUCAAUGGCUAUGUGUUUCCAGAAAAAUAGAAAAGAACGCUUUUUUUUUUCCGUCAAAAUAAAGAAUACUCCUUAAUGUUUAACGUGGGAUAAGAGUGUAUCUUUAAUUUUUUUAAUGCAAUUCUAGUCCCACCCUCACCCAUUUAUUUACCCUUGUCCAUUUUUGAGUUUUAUUUCCUUGGUACAGAGGCAAACUCUGGGCAAGAAGGAAGAGACCCACUCCUUCCUCUUGAAUUUCCCUAUUGGGUCAGCUCCUAGUGACAGAAUUCGUGGAGGACUUCCUAUUCCAGGCCACGCCCUCUGAGAGGUUCUAGCCAAUAAGUGCCCCCACUACCUCUGGUUUGUUGCCCAUUGGUGGAACUGAGAUAAUUGAUGCCUGUUACACCCAAUGGAAAUAUCCACUUGGUUACCUGCGGCAGCCACACGCCUCAGCUGGAUUUGAAACCAGAACUUUCAGAUUCUGCAGAGGAUGAAUAACCACCCACCACCUGGCGACGACAGUUGUAUGAUAAUUACCACGUCACUACUACCCUGUAGUGAUGCUUGACCAUUUCCCCUAAGACCUCUGCGCAAAGGGCAAGGCAUCUUUGAAUCAUUAUUAUUUUAAAAUUAUUGAGUGCUUCUUUUGAGGAGGCAUUGUUGAAACACUUUCCGUUAUGAAUUCUCUGCUAACCAUCUCAACAAUCCUAUGAAGUAAAUGACAUUUAUACGUCCAUUUUGCAGAUGAGGAAACUGGGGCAAAGCGAGGUUAACCAAUUUAAUUUGCCCAAGGCCUCAUAGAAUAGAGCCAGGAUUUGGGUACAAGCAAGCUGGCUCUGCCUGUCCAUCAGCAAAUUGAUUUCCUUCAUUUUAAAAGAAAUGUCUUCUUUUUUUUCUUGGUCUUUUUAGGGCUGCACCUGGGGCAUAUGGAGGUUCCCAGGCUAGUGGCUGAGUCGGAGCUGUAGCCACCGGCCUACACCACAGGCACAGCAACGCCAGAUCCAAGCCACCUUUGCGGCCUAGACCACAGUUCACGGCAACGUGGGAUUCUUAACCCACUGAGCGAGGCCAGGGAUCAAACCUGCAACCUCAUGGUUCCUAGUCAGAUUCGUUUCUGCUGAGCCACGAUGGGAACUCCUAAAGGAAAUGUCUUCUUAAAAUACAGUCUCAUUUAAAUAGGUCGUGAUUCAUCAUUUCAAAAUGGAGCUUGAUUCUCCAUCCACCAGGCUUAGCACCUUGAGCUAUUCCACCAGGGAAGCUGGAAUCAGGGAUGAGCUUCAACUUUUGUAUAGAAGGUCUCCAAUAUCAUCAUCAUCAUCAUCACAACAACAACGACAACAACAAACAGUAGCCAUAAAUCCUGGUUAAACAACACCCCUUCAGCUUGGGGCACUGAGCUAAGUGCUACACCGGAUGAAUCAUUGAUUCCGGUAACCCAUACAACAAUUCUGUGAGCAGCCCCUUUUUAGGGAGUUGGAAAUGGAGGUGCAGAGAGGUUAAGCCACUUGCCUGAGGUCUCACAGCAGCAGAGCCAGAAUUGAAUCCCCAUCAGUCACAGGUUAGGGCCCAGGUGCUCCACUGCUCUGAGGCUCCACCAGGAAGGAGGGGAUGCUACAUAAAUAACUCACUUAGGACUUCAUCUCAUUGUCCUAACAUGUAGCUAAAUGCAGAAGUCCUUUGUUCAAUGAUUGCCUGGUUAUCUCUGAGCUAUGGAGAUCGUGUUUUCUAGACCCAAGCUGGGGACACAUGGAUUUGACACAUGGUUAGACAACAGGGGAGGAAAUCAGAACUCCACGCUAUCUCAGGAACACUGGGGUGGAUGUUCCCUGUAGCUAUUCCACGUGUGCCCCUGUAACAUCUUGUCACAACAAUUAGCAAUGCACACAGCACGUCAGGAGUGUGCUACACCAAGCUCUGAGUUUUACCCGCGGACCCCUGUGGCUAUGGUAGGAGCCACACGGCUCUGCCUUAAUAAGUGUGAUCCGUUUCUAGAUCUGCCCAUCACAAGGUCAGACCCCCACAGACCUUCUCCAUGAAGACCUAACAGAUUGCUCAUGCCCCCUAUUAAGCAACCCCUUUAGCCUGGACAUUUUCUACCAGGGCCCCUUAUUAAUAUUGCUUGGUUGUGUUAUUUUAUUUUCACUUACUCUUGAACCUCAGAUUUACAAAGUGAUGAUGCUCAAUCCCCAGACCAUCGUCAUCAUUGAGCUGCAAAUGGCCUCUCUCUGGCUUUCUUCAUGUAUUCAUUCUGUUUCUCACCUUGUUCAUGUAGCACUAAGUUUUAAAGAACCAUCCACAUUUGCUAUUGGAUAGCUAGUCAACAGUUGUCAAUGCUUUUGCUGUCAGGACCCUUUCAUACUCUUGAAAAUUAUUGAGAACCCCAAAAAGCUGCUGAUAAUGUGGGUUAUAGAUACGAGUAUGUACAACAUUAGGAAUUGAAGCAGGAGUUCCCUGGUGGUGCAGCAGGUUAAGGAUCCAGCAUUGUCACUGCUGUGGUUCGGAUUCAUUCCCUGGCCUGGGAACUUCUGCAUGUCUUGAACAUGGCUGGAAAAAAAAAAAAGAAAUUAAAGCAUAAUUUUUAAAAUGAUUUUAUGAUAACUAGUAUGGUAAUAAUCCACUUCAAAUAGCAACAUAAGCCCAUUGCAUAUAACAUCUUGGAUGAGAAAUAAGGAUUUUGCAAGAUAAAAGCAAACUUAGUGAGAAGAGCUUGACUUUUCCGUUUUGGCAAACUUGGCAUAUCAGAAGGUAACUGGAACCUUCUACUGUUCUCCAUUUUUGCAAACCUAACGUAUCAGAAGGUACCUGGAAUCGUCUAUCAGCUUCUGCAUUCAAGUUGAUGUGAUAUGAUAUCAUGGUUGAUAUAGAACGUCAGCCUCACGGAGAUAUGUAGAUGGCAAAGGGCUGACGUCACGGACACUCUGAAAGGAUUUGGGGAGCCCUAGCUCCUUGGACCAUCCUUUGAGGACCACUGACUUCUGGGUGGUACCCUACAUACUGCCGCCCACCCUGUUUCACCCGUCUGUUCUCUCAGACACUUACACUUCUACAUAACCAUCUCUGCUCUCCAGUCGUGGGGCAUUCAGCAAUUCAUGUACAACAAUUAGCCCAGUGACUCUGACCAUUGUCUACAACAUUUGACACGUUCGUUCACAUCAUCUACACGUGUUUAUGGAAUUGCCUCUUUUAUGGGAAAUAGAGCGGUGAACGAGAUAGGUUCUCAUGGUCCUUAUAUUGCACUGGGAAGAGACGCUAUAAACAUAAAAACAUAAAUAAGCCCCCUUCCGUUAACAAGCAGCACUAUAAGGAAACUGAAAUAGGAUGUUUUAUCAGAAAGUAAAACCAAAAAAAAAAAAAAAAAAAAAAAAAAAA